rnacentral:rRNA from 1 species
GUAGGUGGCAAGCGUUGUCCGGAAUUAUUGGGCGUAAAGCGCGCGCAGGUGGUUCUUUAAGUCUGAUGUGAAAGCCCCCGGCUCAACCGGGGAGGGUCAUUGGAAACUGGGGAACUUGAGUGCAGGAGAGGAAAGUGGAAUUCCACGUGUAGCGGUGAAAUGCGUAGAUAUGUGGAGGAACACCAGUGGCGAAGGCGACUUUCUGGCCUGUGACUGACACUGAGGCGCGAAAGCGUGGGGAGCAAACAGGGAUUAGAUACCCUGGUAGUCCACGCCGUAAACGAUGAGUGCUAAGUGUUGGGGGGGUUUCCGCCCCCUCAGUGCUGCAGCUAACGCAUUAAGCACUCCGCCCUGGGAGUACGGUCGCAAGACUG